CGAAGAUGGUGAAACUGGCCUGGAUUUUAAUUUAUAAAUUCUAAUAAUAUACAUUCAUCCAUGUAUCGGAUUUCUCAUCGUGUUGAUGUAUACAUAUAUGUAUAUAUAUAAGUAUAUGCAGAGGUUAACGAGAUGCCUCCCCACGCAAGAAAAACCCGAUCGACGAUGUAAAAAUAACGAACGUUUUCUACACAUCGUCGAGUAACCAGUACGACGUGCGUAUUUUGCACUUCCUCGUCAUCACCGACGCGAUCUCUCUGUCAUUACAAUGUAAUUGUAAUUUACGACCGAGAAGAGAUUGGAGAGGAACAAAUUAGCAAAAGAAACAAAGUUAAUAGAUAUAUAUUAGCUAAUGUUCGAGAGACGCCACACCGAGGAUCAUUGAUCAAUGAUUCGCAAGUAAACAGACGAUCUUAUUUAAAAGAGCACCUCUCUAGAAAUUACGACGGCAUCUAGACUGCAAGUCGCGUCAUAAAUCAAGAAAGAUGAUGUGCAUGAUUGAAACGACGGGAGGCUCCGCAGGGGUUAAUACACCGAGGGUGUAUGUGCAACAGCGGCCGGCUUCUCGGAGAUAUUCGAAGCCGAGAGUGUGGUCCAUGCUACGUCCUCUCUCUACUUAUCUUCGUGAUAGAGGAAAGGUAGGCAAGAAGACGAAGAAAAUGUGUGGGAGCACACACGUAAGU